GCAUGGCAACACAACAAACUGACCAAGAACAUGUAAAUUCUAGUGUUUCUACUCUCCAAGUUGCAUCUUUUGCUUCUAUAGUGAAUGGGAAUACAUCUACAUUGAAUAUGGAUAAAAAUUAGAAGUCAGAGGAACGAAGGAAUGCAAACACUAUAGGUGACAAGGACAGGACCUGUAAUCAUGCCCAAUGCAUUGAACAGAUGCACAGCUAGAAGAGCACCAGAUGGAGAGAGAGCAUGAGACCCAUGGACAAUCACCAAUCAGAUGUAGCUGACUAGUGCAUGCCAGGUCACUGCUGGAGUCCUCAGAUGAUGAUGACCAUGAGAAUGAUGUGAUGGAGAGGAAGCUGGACCAGCAUGUGCCAACAUCUCUGUUGCACCUUAGAGGAAACAACAUCAGGAACAACAGGAGAUGAUUAUAAGGAGUGGAUAUGUGAAGUGGUGACUGAUGUGUUUUGAACACAAAUGAUUGACAUGUUGGGGAUUUUUUUUGAGGAUAUGGAGCAGGCUAUGCAUGACUCAUUCAGAGACAUAGCACAAGAGAUCACUUGUAAUGUUCUUCUCCAUAAUGGCAGUCCCUCAGGUCCAUAUGUGGUGCCUGUGUGCUCCAGUUGUGUAAUGCUGCCAUUAUACUGUUUGACAUAUAAUUGAUUGGACUAUAGAUGCACUCGUCUGCAUGCAUGCCAUUUAGUUGCUAUACUUAUGUGGUACAUGUGGACACAUACAAUAUAGAUAUUGUCGUGUGACAUUUAAUUAUGUAUCACAUGUACAUGACACACAUUGGCACAUUACUACUGUUUCCUUCCACAUUCAGAUGCCCAUGCAUUGUAGCAGUUAGCAUGCAGCUACUGCUGCAACAAUUACCCUAUAAACAUGUGUUCUAUUAUGAGAAACUCACAGGCAACACAUGUUGUCCAUAGUUAGGCACUACCAUAGAGGUAUGGUUAAGAUUUGUGUAUUGCCAUAUCAUGUAUGUGCAACAGAAGGACAUAUCAUUGCCCAUGUGUUUUGGAUAAAAGUUGUCAUGUUAUCUUGCUGGGUCUCACUGGCAUGAUGUCAUGUUGUGUGGCAUGUUUUGGCAAUGCUGAUGGCAUGUUUGGUCAUACAAAGGUAUGAUAUACAUAUGGGCAGACAUUCUUUUCUGACUGCAUAGAAUGCCAGUUUAACAAUCAUGUAUAUACUGUGGUAAUGAUAAUUUAUUCAGUAAAAGUAAAGUAUACCAUGUUUGGUCUAUGUUACGUUUAGUAUCUCACCAGCCACCAACUCAUCCUAAAUCCAAAUAAGACCAAGCUCAUAAUUUUCCCUAAUAAAUCUUCCAAACCCAGUACCCCAAUCCCUCUCCAUACUAUCUAGCAAUGGUAUAAAAAUCAAACCCACCAAUCAGACCAAGCUGCUAGGGGUAACCAUAGAGGAUUCUCUAACAUUUGAUAAACACAUCUAUCUGACCAUCAAAAUAAUCCACUCUAAACUAAGCGCUAUAUACAGGGUUAAAUCUUACCUUACACAACAAACUAGAUUAACCCCACAGAACAUACCACUGUACUGCUGUCCUACAGCUCAACAGAUAACUAAAAACCCCAACCUGUCCACAUUUAAAACUACCCUGAAAGACUAUUUAAAUGAUAACU